rnacentral:rRNA from 5 species
AACUUUCAACAACGGAUCUCUUGGCUCUCGCAUCGAUGAAGAACGCAGCGAAAUGCGAUAAGUAAUGUGAAUUGCAGAAUUCAGUGAAUCAUCGAAUCUUUGAACGCACCUUGCGCCUUUUGGUAUUCCGAAAGGCAUGCCUGUUUGAGUGUC